rnacentral:rRNA from 1 species
UACGUAGGGUGCAAGCGUUGUCCGGAAUUAUUGGGCGUAAAGAGCUCGUAGGCGGUCUGUCGCGUCGGCUGUGAAAACUCGGGGCUCAACUCCGAGCUUGCAGUCGAUACGGGCAGGCUAGAGUUCGGCAGGGGGAGACUGGAAUUCCUGGUGUAGCGGUGAAAUGCGCAGAUAUCAGGAGGAACACCGGUGGCGAAGGCGGGUCUCUGGGCCGAUACUGACACUGAGGAGCGAAAGCGUGGGGAGCGAACAGG